rnacentral:rRNA from 1 species
UCCUACAGUACAUACAGCGGACAUGCAUCUAACUCUCCGAAGCUAAGUCAAGUAUCGCUCAGUCAGUACCAAGGUGGGGGACCACUUGGAAAUCCUGAGUGCUGUAGUUU